CCAUUUGGUCAAUUCUACUCAUCCUUCAGCAAAAUCAGGAACAUGAUCUUCACCUGUUUAAAAUCCAAAAAUGAGGGAUUUGAAUCGGUGCUCUACUUAUCUUCCGGUCUUCAUUCUCUUCCUGAUUUUCUGUAGUGUUUCCUUAUCUGAUCCCUGAUUUUUUGAAUUCAACAACUCUUAAUCUGUUUUGAAAUCACGAUAAAUUUUUUUUACAAAACAUAAGCUAUCCAAAAUUGAAAUUGAUGGAGCAGGGCUUCUAUGGUAAAAUUCGGUUCAAUACUUGUCCCAUUCAAACCCUCGAUCUGAUCAAUGGUUAAUGGUAAUCCUUAUUCUUCUUCUCUGGAUUCAAGGCGAUGUCUAGGUCAUGAAGCUAUGGCGUCGUCUACACUAUUUAGACCAGACGCAGUUAAGCACAUUCUAUCCUCAUCCCUCUUCCCGGUUGAGCUCUCUGUCAAAGAUAUGGUCAAAAAAUGGGUCAACCUAUUUUUAAAAUUUGAUAAAGUUUAGGUGAAUUCUUUAGAGAAGAUGACGGAGCAAAGGCAAAGGUGAUUUCCACCUAGAUUGCAGGUUUCAGCUAGAGUUGCGAAAGUAUCUUCCACUUAGGAGACAUAAGUAAGAUUUCAAUUUUUAUAAAGAGAGGUAAUUCUUAUCUUUUCUCUGUGGUUUGUUUUGAUUAGGGUUGUUAGUCUUAUUUUCAUAAUUAAUAAGUAUGAUGGGAACAAUAGUUGUGAUGCAAAUAGGCCAGCUCUUUUGCAACUCAGUUGAAUAAAUUCAGUAGGUUUAUUUAUUAGAAGAUGAUUAUGAGUCAGAACCUUGUGAAGCUCUUUGAUUUCAAUUAGCUAUGAUUGUUGAAAAAUCAUUUCAUUACUGAUUCAAAUUUCAAGAUUGCAGCCCUCAAUUUAAGGUAUGCCCGCUAAAAAAUCUACAUAUUUUUUUAUUCCAUUCAAUUCUACCCUUAAAAUCAUGCAUUACAAAUGACUGAGCUAAUUGCCAUCAAUACAAAUUAUAUUCGUGAUACUUUAAAUGGGUAUAUUCUUAAUUUUUGGUGAUCAAAUGUCUGUUAUCAAGGUAAAUUCUUUCUUCAAUCCUUACAGUUUUCUAUCUUUCAAAGUUUACCCAAUUUUUAGUUUCAUUAUGAUUCCAUAUUUAUAGUUAUACAAAGAAUAUGAAAUCGAAUUCAUGACAACAUAUUUGAAACUGAUGGAAGAGAAAUGAUAAGGAAUGAAAACAAAUGAUUUCUCUGUCAAUUUCCAAGUUGGAUUGUGGUUUCUUUAGUUUCAUACUUACAAUUGGCAGCCAAAAAUGAAGCUAUCAUCUUUUUCUUUAAACUCAAAGUGACCAGUAUCACUCGGUUUAUAGAGUGGAGUAUAUGACUGACCUCUGAUUCUGGAUUUUUAAUUAAACAGGUAGGAAGAACGGCUUGUCAGUUUGCUAAGCCUUUUAUAUAACCUAUAUCUUUUUAAUCCAUUUAAAUAAACCUGACAUUAUAUAUUUCUUUUCAUUUCACCUUAGCUAUCAGCUUACAAGAAGCAUGUUGUGGAAAUAUUAGAUGAUAGGUACAUUUUUUCAUUUUUUUUAAAAUAUAUUACAAUCAAAUACAGUCAAUGUAUUUGAUGAAAUUUUCGUUUUCGGUAUGCAAGAAGUUAUAUUCUACUACCCUUGAAGGUGAACCACACAAUCUCCUCUAAUAAAUUGGAUAUUUAUCACUUAACAUACUUUUCUUGUUACGAUUCUAAGCAUAUUUCCAUUUAUUUACCAUAUUACCCUUGGCUUCUGAGUUGACAAGGAUGACCGGGAUUUAGUUGAAGUUAUUUAUAGAGUUAUGACUUGUCUUACUCCUCAGACAUACAUUUCAUCAACUAUCAUGAACUUUUAUAUACGGUAAAUUUAUAAUUUCAUCUUUUAACAAUUAAAAAAAGUAUUUUACAUAUAUACCCUUCAAAAAUAUGUCCAAGUAGCCUACAUGACUUGCUUUUUUUUGGCUAGAUAUCUUCAACAGAUGACAUCAUCAGAAAACAUAUAAGCAAAUUUGCAUAUCUUUUCAAUACAUACUUCUAUAACAAACUCCUAAGGUUAUCCACUUUUAAGUACUUCUCUAAAUUAUCUUUGUUUACUAAUUUUUAGAGUUAAAUGCAAGAAUUAGCAACAUACUUAAUUACUUAUGCUGAUUUGUUUAUUAUAGCAUCUUAUUUUUAUUCCUCUUUAUUAUAGCAUUCUACUUAGAAAUUUUAACUCAGUUAGAGCAUAUUCAUCCACAUAUUUGCUUAAUUUUUUUUAUUGUUGAUUGAAAUUUGUUUGUUGAUUUUUAGGUGUGUGAAGAAGUGGGUCAACCUAUAUGCCAAAGACUACAAAAACUCAAAAAAGACUAUUGGGUAUGGAUUGUGUGUCUACUGUGAUUUUGGUUGUAUGUUUUAAACAAAGGUAAAAGAAGCUAAAGAGUAAAUUUUUAGUUAGGAAUUAAUUUCAGCGUAAAUGAUUUUACACUUGCUUUAAAAUUUAAAAUUAUUUCUAUCAUUUUAAGACGACAUGAGUUAAAUUUGAUUCUUACAGUGUAAAUGUAUGAUUAAUUUGAACUGCUUGGAAGGAA